UACGAAGGGUGCAAGCGUUACUCGGAAUUACUGGGCGUAAAGCGGGCGUAGGCGGUCUGUUAAGUCCGUUGGGAAAGCCCUGGGCUCAACCUGGGAAUUGCAGUGGAUACUGGCAGGCUAGAGUACGGUAGAGGAUGGUGGAAUUCCCGGUGUAGCGGUGAAAUGCGUAGAGAUCGGGAGGAACACCCGUGGCGAAGGCGGCCAUCUGGACCAGUACUGACGCUGAGGCACGGAAGCGUGGGGAGCAAACCGG
rnacentral:rRNA from 1 species